rnacentral:lncRNA from 1 species
AAACGCUGUCUCUCGGGACGGUCAGAUGCAGGCCCGCAAGAGGGAGGCCAAGUGCGACUUCUGGGGCCUCUCAGCAAGUGAGGGCCAAGGGGGCCUCUGGGGAGCCGUGUGAGGUGGGAAUCCGCCCCGGACCUGGCCAGCUUGGAAACCUGCCCCUGGCUCUGUCUCCGAGGAAGCAGCUCCAGCUCGUCCGUUCUCACGGGCCCUGGAGAUUCACUUUGCACGGUGCAGCCUCGGACCCUGCUCUUCCUCGGGGCGCCUGACCGUGGAUCUCAGCGGCCUGGCGCCUAACACAGAGCCUGGCACCGACGGAGCAUAGCUCGAAUGUUUGCUGCACAAAGGAGAGGUGCUGGGGCGGGAAGGCACACAGGGAACUCUGGCCUGGCCCUGGCCUCUUUGGGAAAGGCGAACAUAAUCUCAGCUCAAUCUACAAGGGAUCAGAUGAGACCGCACAAACAGCUGCCUUCAGAGAAUGGGAUGUUUCUGGGUCAUGGGAAGAGACGCUGGAGGUCCACUUCAGCUAGACCCUUCAGGAGGGUCUCUCAGAGCAGAGGCCUGCAAGUCGAGAAGGAGCCAGCCACGAAAGCAUCUUGGAGGAGCGCAAUCCAGGCAGAGGGAACAGCGAAGAGGCCCGUGUGGCUGGAGCGAGAGCCGAGCCGAGCAUAAGCAUGUGGAGCCGCCAGGAGGAGG